GGGAAUCGUGGGGUUGAUGAAGUGAGUGAUUCAGAAUCAGAGAAGAGGUUCUUGGAUGAUUUCAAGUUGAGGUUUUUCUCAAGCAUGUCCAUGAAUGUCUGCGAUCAUUUCCCAGUGUUAAGGUGGAUCGGGUACAAAGGACUUGAGAAGAGAGUGAUUGAGAUGCAGAGGAUGAGAGAUGAGUACCUCCAACGACUCAUUGAUGACAUUCGAAUGAAGAAAUUUGAUUCCACUGGUUCGGUAGUGGAGAAAUUAUUGAAGCUCCAAGAGUCAGAACCUGAAUUCUACUCUGAUGAAGUUAUUAAGGGAAUUGUAGUGCUGAUGUUCAAUGCCGGAUCGGAUACUUCACCAGUGGUAAUGGAAUGGACAAUGUCGCUUUUACUGAACCAUCCAGAUAAGCUUGAGAAGGUCAGAGAAGAAAUCAAAUCCAAUGUUAAACACAAAGUGCUUAUACAAGACUCAGAUCUUUCGUGCUUACCUUAUCUUCGCUGUGUAAUCUAUGAGACGCUUAGGCUUUACCCUGCAGCUCCACUCUUGCUUCCUCACUCUUCAUCCAAGAGAUUCAACUUAGGCAACUACGAGAUCCCUGAAAAUACGAUGUUGUUGGUGAAUGCUUGGGCUGUUCAUAGGGACAGUGAGCUUUGGGAAGAAGCGGGUGUUUUUAAACCGGAGAGAUUUGAAGGGUUUGUUGGUGACAGAGAUGGUUUUAGGUUUUUGCCAUUUGGAGUUGGGAGGCGGGCGUGCCCCGCAGCUGGACUAGGAAUG
rnacentral:lncRNA from 1 species